rnacentral:rRNA from 1 species
UACGUAGGGGGCAAGCGUUGUCCGGAUUAUUGGGCGUAAAGAGCGUGUAGGCGGCUUUACAGGUCCGCUGUGAAAACUCGAGGCUCAACCUCGAGCUGUCGGCGGAAACCAUCUGGCUAGAGUCCGGAAGAGGAGAAUGGAAUUCCCGGUGUAGCGGUGAAAUGCGCAGAUAUCGGGAGGAACACCGGUGGCGAAGGCGGCUCUCUGGACCACUACUGACGCUGAGGCGCGAAAGCUAGGGGAGCAAACAGG